rnacentral:lncRNA from 1 species
CCCACAAAUGGUAACCUAGCCAUUUUUCUUCGAAGGCAUGAUUCAUAGACCAAUAUUGACUCAGAUUAAAUUAAGUCUAGGAUCCCAUCCUUUUUCAAUCUAUUUAUCUUAUCCUCUCUAAUAUAGCUAAGCUUAUGGUGCCACAAGUACUUAUGAUUAAACUCAUCUUUGAGUCUCUUUUGACCUACGGCACUCACUACUUGCUCAUUUAGAUUCACAUUAGCAUC